ACACACACCAAGAUUCACUGUUUACUUGUCAGUUGUCACUCUCCCCACCCCCCGGCAAAUCGACUUGGAUAUCUAUAGUGUACACUAAGUAUAUACUUUCGUUGCACUCCACAUUUUGGUAGUGUUUGUAUCUGUUGAACGCAAAUAUAUGUCAAUAAUGGCCAUGGAUUUCACUUCCUGCUUGUCCUUCCCAUCAUCUUUUGCGCCUAAUGGAAACUCUAGCAAUAGUAUCAAGUACGUUUCAUGCUACAAUAUCAGCAGUAAGGCCAUUCUGUUGAAGCAACAAUCCUACUUCUUCAAAAAAUGCUUCUACUCCCAGUCCCGCAAUUUCAAGAUUCAACUUUCUCCUCAAAUUGAUGCUCAGUUAGCUGAUUGUGAGACUGAAGGUCUUAGCUGGCCUUCUCCAAAUGAUGAAAUUCCCUUCUGGAAAAGAGAGUUUCCAUUUUGGGACCUCAGCUCGGAUGAUCCUGCUGGAGUGGAAAAGGAUGCUGAUCUAUUGCACAUUGUUCAUGUGACAGCUGAAAUGGCACCUAUAGCAAAAGUAGGGGGUCUAGGUGACGUUGUAACGGGACUUGGACGUACCUGUUUAAAGCGUGGCCAUAAAGUUGAUGUCAUGCUUCCUUUCUAUGAAUGUAUUCCUAAGCAUUUAAUUGAUGAGCUAGCCUUGAUCAAAACUUACAACUCAUAUCUUGACGGAAACUGGGUAGCCUGUAAUGCAUAUCGAGGGGAAGUUUCAGGUGUUCCGGUGAUACUUAUUGAACCAUCCAACCACUUUUUCAAGGGAACAAACAUAUAUGGAGGGUCAUACAAUGAGUUAGAGGCAUAUUUGUUUUUCAGCCGUGCUUGCCUUGAAUUGAUGCAGGUAACAGGAACACAACCUGAUAUCAUUCAUGUACAUGAAUGGCAGACAGGUGCUUUACCUCUGUUUUACUGGGAUAUGUACCAAUUUCUCUCACUCCAGAAACCGAGAAUUGUAUUGACUAUUCACAACAUGGAGCAUUAUGGAGAAUGCAGACAAGAGCAACUCAGUAAGUUUGGUCUCGAUGGAUCUGCCUAUGCAACUGAAGACAAGGCCGUCGAUGAUCGCACAGUUGGCCAUAAUCCAGAGAGGUUAAGUUUGCUGAAAGGUGGCAUAGUAUACAGCAAUGCUGUAGUUACAGUUUCACCGACGUAUCUGAAGGAGACACUCUGUUCCGGAUGGCUUUCUAGUGCUUUGAUGCGAAACCGUGAUAAGUAUUCUGGCAUUUUAAAUGGGAUCGAUACUGAAAUGUGGAAUCCAGCAACGGAUGUUUAUUUGCCUGCUAAAUUUGAUGCCAGCAAAAUUGAAGGGAAGAGGAUAUGCAAACAAUUUGUUCAAAGGGGACUUAGUCUGCCUUUUGAAAGCAUCAAACAGAGUACUUGUGUGGCUGAUCAAGUACCUUUGGUUAUCUGCAUUACUCGAUUGGUCGCUCAAAAGGGUCUCCAUCUUAUCACUCAUGCGAUCAAGCAUGUUGAAGAACUAGGUGGACAGUUGGUGAUUUUGGGUAGGGCUUCAGAUGAUCGAGUUGAGAGAGAAUUUGAAGGUUUAGCAGAAUUGGUAACCCAAAUUUCUAGACUUGAAAUAUUCUUCUGGCUGGCUUGCAGUGGACCAUUACAUACGGUUCUUUUCAUCAUCAUGAGAUGGAAAAUGGAAGCAUCGCCACUGAUAAUACAGUUCAUUAUCACCAUUUUAGUUUUUCCUUCUCUUUAUUACUAUUCUUUUAUGAUAUUAGAAUGGGAUCAUUUAAUGAUUUAGAUGUCAGGGUCCAUACAAUGUGCUACAUUUGACCUGAAAGAAAUGCCAAUUGAUAAAACCAAAGAGAAAAAGCAGCAGAAAAGAAGAAAGUGAGAGAAUUAGUUAAGUAAAUUAUGCUGCACUAAUUGCUCAUUAAUGCAUGUUCCUAUUUUCCCUCUGGAGUAAGCUAGAAGUAAUAAGUAGUUGGUGAUUUCAUAUGUUAAAAUGUAAGUCCAUCCUGCUUAUAAUUUCCACCGUACUUAUUUACACAUUUGAGAGAACAAAGUGUUUUAUUUUGAAGAAGUCCAAUAGAUCUGGUUGUGUUUUUAAACCUUUUUGAGUGACCAUGCAAUGGUGAUAUCAAUUACUUUCUUUGUAGCAUGACAAGGGCCCCAACAUCCGUAUCCUUUUGAUGUACAGGUAACUAUUUUUGAAAGCCAAUUGAUUAUCUAAUAUUCCUAACCUUCAAGAAAUAUUACUGCGAGGAGCUGUCCCAUAUGCUCUAUGCUGCUGCAGACAUGGUUUUAGUGCCAUCAAUGUAUGAGCCAUGCGGGCUAG